rnacentral:lncRNA from 1 species
CUCUCCCCAGUGAUAUUUUUUUUUAUUACUCUGGGGGCCAGUCAGGUUUCGAACCUGCAACCUCACUUUGAUAUCACAUGUUAAGACCGUAGCCCCUAACCAACUUUUCAUAAGGCAAAUACCUAUUGGGAGGUGAGAUUUAUUAGCCUUUAUCCACUAGGCAUAGGGGCUUCACACAUGAGUUGACCCGCAUCAAGCUAGAUCACCCUUAAUCAGCUGGCUGGACGGUUA